UGGGGGGUGUUUUCCAAGGGAGGGCGGCCCCCCUCUGUGGUGCUUCCUUUUUUCUGAUGGUGGAAACGUGGCCUCCAAAAAACGGGGCGUAAGCAGCCAUUCUGUGCCAGGUGGUGGAACCGCCCCAGGCUCGAGGCAGGAGCUGGGGUCCCCACCUGGGGCAGCUGCUGGGUCCCAAGCCGUCUCCUGUGAGAAAGAACAAAAACGUAUCUUGUCAAAGCUGCGCGGCUUUCUCACGGUGGGUGGGAGUGCAGUCCCCAGGGGAGUCUGCUAUGGGGGUGCCCUGUUCCUGCCCCAGGUGGGAGGGGGUGGGUUAUUGACAAGCAUUCCAAGUUUUCUUAGAUGCAUUUUUUAAAUCCAAAGCAUGCUGUAAUGCACGAACGCAGAUAGACAUGUAAAAUAUGAUCACCGCGUGACAGACACCCACACCUACCUUGGCUCAAAUAGGCUGCCUCGCCACAGCUCUGACACCUGAGCGUCAGCUGUUCCUCACGGAGCCCCACUGCGUCUGAAGCUGGCAGCCUCGGAUCCCUGCUAAAUGGACAUAUUCCUUCCCAAACUCAGUUCUCAAAUGGGCCUUUGUUGGUAAGGAGACUCCACACAUGUGUACAGCCUUGAUACAAUAUUCAUUCCCGCAGAGGACAUAUCUCUCAAACAUAAUGUAGUAAGAGCUUUUCCAAAUCCAAGGACAUUAAAUAUUAAAACUCAGUUUUCUAGUUAUACAUUAGCCUUGAAUACCAAGAGGGCAACACAAAAUUCUCACAGAACUCAGGAAAAGGAGACCAGAAAGGCCGCAGAUGGGCAGCCAGGCGGACAAGGGCACAGGACCGGGUCCGAAAGGGUCCCCAGUGCAGGAGUCUCUGUCCCCGUGGGGUGGGGGGCACCCCCUCCUGGCACGGGCAACCCAGAACUGCUCCUGAUCGUCCUUCAGGGAUUCUUAUGGGCCCGACGGAUGCUGGUGGGUGGUCCUGGAGGAGGGUGGGGGCAGGGCUGAGAGCUGCUGGUGCUAAUCCUGGCUGGUCUAGCCGGUGACCAGCUCCCCUGCAGGAGCCACCAAGCCUCACCUCAUUUGAACAAAAGCUGCUGCUGCCAUCACCCAGGAAAUUCAGAGGGUUUUUGGAGCCCUGUCCCCGGUCUCGGGAGCAGAGACCAGAUCUAUUCCUCUCUCAUUUCACAGCCCUAUCUUGCCAGGUAGAGCUGGUGUCUGUGUCUGGGUUCCCAGGUUGGCCCCCAGAGGCCUGCUUCUGUUGUCAUAACGGGGCGCUUGCACGGGCAGCUUAAACAGCAAGAAAGGAGGCAUGAAGGCUGAGAUCGAGGUGCGGCCGGAGCUGGUUCCUCUGAGGCCGCCCUUCAUGGCCGAGUGUGGCCGUCUUCCCCUGCCCCUCGUGGCCGGGUGUGGCCGUCUUCCCCUGCCCCUCGUGGCCGGGUGUGGCCGUCUUCCCCUGCCCCUCGUGGCUGGGUAUGGCCGUCUUUCCCUGCCCUGCGUGGCCAGGUGUGCUCAUCUUGUCUGUGUCUUCAUGUCCAAAUGUACCUGAUUUAUAUGGACCCCAGCUGUGGGGUUUAGGGCCCACCCUGGGACCUCACUUUAAAUGGUCACCUCUGUGAAGAUCCUGUCUCCAAAUAAGGCCCCAUUCUGAGGUUGUGGGACAAGGACUCUGGCAUAAAAGUUUCAGGGGGACACAAUUCCACCCAUGCCACUUGCUUAACCAGAAGUUGGUGAGAAUUCUGAAUAUUUGUAAUUUCACCAGGUGAAAGCCCGGAAGAUGAUUGAAUUGUUCUUUAAAACAUCUCGGAAUAUAUUUAAAUGAGCAGAAGAGAAGUUAAAGACACAGCUUCUUCCAGCGCAGACUCUGUGCACAGGUGCUGUGUACAUUACAUUCCUUUCCGGCUGAGGAAUGGCAGUUACAUCGUACAGCGUCCUGAGCUAACCAUCCAUCCAUUCACCUGGAGAUAGUUUGGAAGCCUCGCUGUGUCGUUAGAGCAGAGCCUCGUUCUGAACUCCGGGCCCAGUGGGCCCCACACCACCGCUGAGGCUGCUGCAGCUCAGGGUGGCUUUGACAUCCGUGGUGGCACUCUCUUCUCUGAGGCCUUGCUGUUCAACGUUUUGCAAGACUGUGUUUGCAUGUUUAUUUUUAUGUGAAUGCUGAAACAUCUGGUCUAGUUUAAAAAAUAAACACAAACCACAAAGCCAAAAACACACUGCUGGCAUUUUCUCUGGCACAGGUUGAUUUAAAGAGAACUGGCGUCCGUGAGGCCGUGUGUCUCCCCCAGCUGCAAGGGGCUCUCUCAGUCACUUGCGUUCGGUGUGCGUCUGUUGGUAAAGAACUUGUGCCUUGAGAUUGAUAAGGAGGUGAUUCGGUGAUUUCUUUUCAAACAAAGAAAGAAUGUGGAAUUGAUCUUCCCUCCAUGCUGCUGAACGGGUUCACAGCAUUGUAAUUACAUGUUCCUUAAAGGUUUGCUAGAACUUGUAA